AUUGAACGCUGGCGGCAGGCCUAACACAUGCAAGUCGAGCGAGCGGCGGACGGGGGAGUAAUGUCUGGGAAACUGCCUGAUGGAGGGGGAUAAAUACUGGAAACGGUAGCUAAUACCGCAUACUAUCAGAUGAGCCUAGGUGGGAUUAGCUCGUGGUGGGGGGAAAGGCCUACCAAGGCGACGAUCCGUAACUGGUCUGAGAGGAUGAUCAGUCACACUGGAACUGAGCCACGGUCCAGACUCCUACGGGAGGCAGCAGUGGGGAAUAUUGGGCAAUGGGCGCAAGCCUGAUGCCGCCAUGCCGGGUGUAUGAAGAAGGCCUUCGGAUUGUAAAGUACUUUCGGCGGGGAGGCGUUACCCGCAGAAGAAGCACCGGCUAACUCCGUGCCAGCAGCCGCGGUAAUUC
rnacentral:rRNA from 1 species